rnacentral:piRNA from 1 species
UGUAUUGGUAGGCCAAAUGAAGAUGUA